GAUGAACGCUGGCGGCGUGCCUAAUACAUGCAAGUCGAGCGAAUGGAUUGAGAGCUUGCUCUUAUGAAGUUGGCGGCGGACGGGUGAGUAACACGUGGGUAACCUGCCCAUAAGACUGGGAUAACUCCGGGAAACCGGGGCUAAUACCGGAUAACAUUUUGAACCGCAUGGUUCGAAAUUGAAAGGCGGCUUCGGCUGUCACUUAUGGAUGGACCCGCGUCGCAUUAGCUAGUUGGUGAGGUAACGGCUCACCAAGGCGACGAUGCGUAGCCGACCUGAGAGGGUGAUCGGCCACACUGGGACUGGGACACGGCCCAGACUCCUACGGGAGGCAGCAGUAGGGAAUCUUCCGCAAUGGACGAAAGUCUGACGGAGCAACGCCGCGUGAGUGAUGAAGGCUUUCGGGUCGUAAAACUCUGUUGUUAGGGAAGAACAAGUGCUAGUUGAAUAAGCUGGCACCUUGACGGUACCUAACCAGAAAGCCACGGCUAACUACGUGCCAGCCGCCGCAGUAA
rnacentral:rRNA from 1 species